AUGAAGAUGAACAAAGAGUACCCAUAUAGGCACCACAAUUGCACGAGUCCAGCAGGUGCUGAGAAGUACUUAAGAAUGACAUAUAACCCAAGGGGAACAAAUGUCACAUAG
rnacentral:rRNA from 1 species